ACGCGAAGACCCUUACCUGGCCUUGACAUCCAGAGAACUUUCCAGAGAUGGAUUGGUGCCUUCGGGAACUCUGAGACAGGUGCUGCAUGGCCGUCGUCAGCUCGUGUCGUGAGAUGUUGGGUUAAGUCCCGUAACGAGCGCAACCCCUAUCCCUGGUUGCUAGCAGGUAACGCUGAGAACUCCAGGGAGACUGCCGGUGACAAACCGGAGGAAGGUGGGGAUGACGUCAGGUCAUCAUGGCCCUUACGGCCAGGGCUACACACGUGCUACAAUGGCGCGUACAGAGGGCUGCCAACUCGCGAGAGUGAGCCAAUCCCUUAAAACGCGUCGUAGUCCGGAUCGGAGUCUGCAACUCGACUCCGUGAAGUCGGAAUCGCUAGUAAUCGCGAAUCAGAAUGUCGCGGUGAAUACGUUCCC
rnacentral:rRNA from 1 species